ACUAAACAACCUUGGAUUAUACUGUCUACUGGAUAUAUAUUUUCAUCAGCCUCUCAACUGUACAUCAACAGAACAUUAAGAUCAUCUUUAAAAUGGCUUC